rnacentral:tRNA from 1 species
GGCUCCAUAGUGUAGUGGUUAGCAUGUCUGCUUUACACGCAGAAGGUCCUGGGUUUGCACCCCAGGUGGAGCCA